ensembl:lncRNA
AUCAGGAAGAAUUGUACGAAAAGCUACCAAAGAAGAUCAAUGCCAAGUUCAAAGAGUAAAAGUCUAGGAGCAGCUAUUAUCAGGGUGACUACGAUGGGUCGAGGCGGCUGGGCAGGAACGCUCUUUAUGUGGCUGUGGCCUCCAUCAUCAUCGGCCUUCUCAUCAUCGCCAUCUCCUGCAUCGUUCAUUUUACCGCUGGGGAUUUUUGAUGCUGUGGAGGUGGAGAGUGGGGGAGAACGCUGCAGGAUAAUAUGGGCUCAGCUGGUUCGUUCAUACUGCACCAUCUGCCAGCGAAAGGACUACGACGCCUGACGUUUACUUCCAUCUGUACAUCACUUUGUCUCGGGUUGAACAUUCUGCACGUGGACAAUCACACACUAUACAACAUGGUGAAUGUGAGCGUUUCAGGAAUGAACACCAACAAUGCUUUAAAUAUAAAAAGACAGCUUUCGACAAACGUUUUUGUCAGGCUUUGACUUUUAUUAGAAAGAUGCCUGUUGUAAUUUAUCAAGAAUAGUGACAAUAACUUGUCUAUAACUGAUCAGAAUACCUAUUAUAUAUAUUAAAAAUACUAUUUCUCCUUAAAUUAUGUUUAGUUUUAUUAGAAAAAAUUGAAUUGUUUAAUUCCACAACCUUUUGGUUGAUUGUUAUUAUAAUAUCUCAUUAAUAA